rnacentral:lncRNA from 1 species
AGCAGAGAUUAAAAUGCUCAGGAAGAGUUUAAACUUUAAAGCGACUCCAAUGCCGACCUUCUAUCAAGAGCCUCCACCUCCUAAGGUGGAACUAAAGAAAGUAAGUUGAUUUUUCUGUCACAAUUUCCAUCAAAUAAAAAAUUAUUUUCUUCCCUGCAAAUUGGCUCAUAUGUCAAAGACUUUCCACCCUCAGGUACUUUGAUAUCUUCAAGUUGAGAUCUCUUCACAUGCUGAUGAACUCUGUGUGCUUCAACUAUCUCUAAUUGUUUUCAACCUCAUAAAUGAAGUUUACUUAGGUUCAUUCAUUUGGUUUAAUUUUCAAUUUGUAGUUACAUUUUUAUGGGUCCUUGAUUGUUUGUAUCUAGUAAUUGCAGUGCAAAUGAGUUAAUUGUUAUUGCUUUUUCCUUCCAGUUAUCCUUUUGACUUUUUUAGUCUGCAAGGCAGCAUUGAUCUGUUACUGAACUGGUAAUGUGGUAGUGUAUCCAAUAAGAUUACACAACCGUGAUGCUUUUUCCUUAAUCUAUAUUAUUUUGGUGUAGAUUCCCACAACAAGAGCCAAAUCUCCUAAGCUUGGUAGAAGGAAGAGCUCUACUCCUGCAGACUCUGUAGAAGACAGUACCAGCUGUCGACCAGGUAGGCUGAGUCUGGACGCAAAAGGUCCUCCGAGUAACUCUGCCAGAGGAAUUUCUCCUGUUCACCCAAAGAAACCACAGCGGAAGUCCCUUCCUAAACUGCCUUCUGAAAAGGCUACCAUAUUGAAUUCCAUGAAGGAGGAAAAGAUCACCUUUUCGAAAGCAGCUAAUGAGGAAAAUACCACUUCAUCAAAAGCACCUAAUGAGGAAAAUACCACCUCAUCGAAUGCAACAAAGGAAGUUGCAUCUCCUACAGAAGAGCAGGAGCAGAUUCCUACAGCUGAGCCAGAAGAAACCCAGUUUCAUAAGGAUGAGGGACUGGUGGCUGAAGAGCAAGCUCAGCCUACCCUUGUACAAGAACCCAUAGCGUUGGAGAAUUAAGUUAAGAAGCAGUUGGAAUUUUGGAAUUGGAUGCUUAUACAAAGCUGUCGGCUUCUUUCUUCGUAAAUAAGAAAGGUUUGAGACAGAAAUUA